CAGCAGCCGCGGUAAUACGUAGGGUGCAAGCGUUAAUCGGAAUUACUGGGCGUAAAGCGUGCGCAGGCGGUUAUAUAAGACAGAUGUGAAAUCCCCGGGCUCAACCUGGGAACUGCAUUUGUGACUGUAUAGCUAGAGUACGGCAGAGGGGGAUGGAAUUCCGCGUGUAGCAGUGAAAUGCUUAGAUAUGCGGAGGAACACCGAUGGCGAAGGCAAUCCCCUGGGCCUGUACUGACGCUCAUGCACGAAAGCGUGGGUAGCAAACAGGAUUAGAUACCCGCGUAGUCCCUGUCUCUUAUAC
rnacentral:rRNA from 1 species